rnacentral:rRNA from 1 species
CCUACGGGUGGCUGCAGUGAGGAAUAUUGGUCAAUGGGCGUAAGCCUGAACCAGCCAAGUCGCGUGAGGGAUGAAGGUUCUAUGGAUCGUAAACUUCUUUUAUAAGGGAAUAAAGUGUGGGACGUGUCCUAUUUUGUAUGUACCUUAUGAAUAAGGAUCGGCUAACUCCGUGCCAGCAGCCGCGGUAAUACGGAGGAUCCGAGCGUUAUCCGGAUUUAUUGGGUUUAAAGGGAGCGUAGGCGGCCUGUUAAGUCAGCGGUGAAAGUUUGUGGCUCAACCGUAGAAUUGCCGUUGAUACUGGGAGGCUUGAGUAUAUUUGAGGCAGGCGGAAUGCGUGGUGUAGCGGUGAAAUGCAUAGAUAUCACGCAGAACUCCGAUUGCGAAGGCAGCUUACUAAGCCAUAACUGACACUGAAGCACGAAAGCGUGGGUAUCAAACAGGAUUAGAUACCCGAGUAGUC